rnacentral:rRNA from 1 species
GGAGGGUGCAAGCGUUAAUCGGAAUUACUGGGCGUAAAGCGCACGCAGGCGGUCUGUUAAGUCAGAUGUGAAAUCCCCGGGCUUAACCUGGGAACUGCAUUUGAAACUGGCAGGCUUGAGUCUCGUAGAGGGGGGUAGAAUUCCAGGUGUAGCGGUGAAAUGCGUAGAGAUCUGGAGGAAUACCGGUGGCGAAGGCGGCCCCCUGGACGAAGACUGACGCUCAGGUGCGAAAGCGUGGGGAGCAAACAGGAUUAGAUACCCUGGUAGUCCACGCCGUAAACGAUGUCGACUUGGAGGUUGUUCCCUUGAGGAGUGGCUUCCGGAGCUAACGCGUUAAGUCGACCGCCUGGGGAGUACGGCCGCAAGGUUAAAACUCAAAUGAAUUGACGGUUUU